rnacentral:rRNA from 1 species
AGUGAACGCUGGCGGUAGGCCUAACACAUGCAAGUCGAACGGCAGCACAGUAAGAGCUUGCUCUUAUGGGUGGCGAGUGGCGGACGGGUGAGGAAUACAUCGGAAUCUACUUUUUCGUGGGGGAUAACGUAGGGAAACUUACGCUAAUACCGCAUACGACCUACGGGUGAAAGCAGGGGAUCUUCGGACCUUGCGCGAUUGAAUGAGCCGAUGUCGGAUUAGCUAGUUGGCGGGGUAAAGGCCCACCAAGGCGACGAUCCGUAGCUGGUCUGAGAGGGUGAUCAGCCACACUGGAACUGAGACACGGUCCAGACUCCUACGGGAAGCAGCAGUGGGGAAUAUUGGACAAUGGGCGAAAGCCUGAUCCAGCCAUACCGCGUGAGUGAAGAAGGCCUUCGGGUUGUAAAGCCCUUUUGUCGGGAAAGAAAAGCAGCAGGUUAAUACCCCGCUGUUCUGACGGUACCCAAAGAAUAAGCACCGGCUAACUUCGUG